rnacentral:rRNA from 1 species
CCUACGGGAGGCAGCAGUGAGGAAUAUUGGUCAAUGGACGCAAGUCUGAACCAGCCAUGCCGCGUGCAGGAAGACGGCUCUAUGAGUUGUAAACUGCUUUUGUACGAGGGUAAACGCAGAUACGCGUAUCUGUCUGAAAGUAUCGUAAGAAUAAGGAUCGGCUAACUCCGUGCCCGCAGCCGCGGUAAUACGGAGGCUUCAAGCGUUAUCCGGAUUUAUUGGGUUUAAAGGGUGCGUAGGCGGUCGGAUAAGUUAGAGGUGAAAUCCCGAGGCUCAACUUCGGAAUUGCCUCUGAUACUGGUCGGCUAGAGAGUAGUUGCGGUAGGCAGAAUGUAUGGUGUAGCGGUGAAAUGCUUAGAGAUCAUACAGAACACCGAUUGCGAAGGCAGCUUACCAAGCUACUUCUGACGUUGAGGCACGAAAGCGUGGGGAGCAAACAGGAUUAGAUACCCGAGUAGUC